UGGGGAAUCUUAGACAAUGGGGGCAACCCUGAUCUAGCCAUGCCGCGUGAGUGAUGAAGGCCUUAGGGUUGUAAAGCUCUUUCAGCUGGGAAGAUAAUGACGGUACCAGCAGAAGAAGCCCCGGCUAACUCCGUGCCAGCAGCCGCGGUAAUACGGAGGGGGCUAGCGUUGUUCGGAAUUACUGGGCGUAAAGCGCACGUAGGCGGACUGGAAAGUUGGGGGUGAAAUCCCGGGGCUCAACCUCGGAACUGCCUUCAAAACUAUCAGUCUGGAGUUCGAGAGAGGUGAGUGGAAUUCCGAGUGUAGAGGUGAAAUUCGUAGAUAUUCGGAGGAACACCAGUGGCGAAGGCGGCUCACUGGCUCGAUACUGACGCUCAGGUGCGAAAGCGUGGGGAGCAAACA
rnacentral:rRNA from 1 species